GCCCCUCUCGAUCCCUGAGACCCUAACUUGUGAUGUUUUCCGUUUAAAUCCACGGGUUAGGCUCUUGGGAGCUGCGAGCCGCG
rnacentral:pre_miRNA from 1 species